rnacentral:rRNA from 1 species
AAAUUGAAGAGUUUGAUCAUGGCUCAGAUUGAACGCUGGCGGCAGGCCUAACACAUGCAAGUCGAACGGUAACAGGAAGCAGCUUGCUGCUUCGCUGACGAGUGGCGGACGGGUGAGUAAUGUCUGGGAAACUGCCUGAUGGAGGGGGAUAACUACUGGAAACGGUGGCUAAUACCGCAUAACGUCGCAAGACCAAAGAGGGGGACCUUUGGGCCUCUUGCCAUCAGAUGUGCCCAGAUGGGAUUAGCUUGUUGGUGAGGUAACGGCUCACCAAGGCGACGAUCCCUAGCUGGUCUGAGAGGAUGAC